CUCUCACUGCUGUGGCCUCUCCCGUUGCGGAGCACAGGCUCCGGACGCGCAGGCUCAGCGGCCAUGGCUCAUGGGCCCAGCCGCUCCGCGGCAUGUGGGAUCCUCCCGGACCGGGACACGAACCCGCGUCCCCUGCAUCGGCAGGCGGACUCUCAACCACUGCGCCACCAGGGAAGCCCAACAGGUGCUUUUUAAUAAGCAUGUCUCCUAAAAGUGUUUCAUUGAGAAGGAGCGGACGAUGUGAAAAUUGUGAAUGAACCCCAGGGUAACGGCGUACAGAUGAGGAAAGUGGUUUGGAAGACACGUAGGGAUAUUAACAUCGUGUGCUGAACUGACUGUUUUUUUCCACUGGAAAUCAAAACAAGGGCAUCCCAAGAGUUGCUAAACACAGUAGAAUUCUGAAGAGCUCACAGAAGAAGCGUGACGCACGUUUGGCUCAUUUGUUAUUAAACUUCCAUUCCUAAGACUCACAUCUGAGACAUAAAAUAAUUUCCUCUUUUGCCCUAAAAGUACUUUGUUUCGGCUAUGGGCAGUAUUUGGCAAACCAACCUCGGACAGCAGAAAAACCGUAUGUGUGUGGUGCCCGUGGCCCUCUAGCUGUGGCCUAUUGCUCCUAACUUCAUCUUUUGGCGCUUCUGUGAACAAGGAGGCCGGACGGGAGAGAAACAUUCCCUGUGUUGGCUGCUCUGUUCGUAUUAUUACAGCUCUGAUGCUAUAGAGAAAAAUAUAAAAACCACAUAAGGAUUUAUAUAUCUCCCACUCGUAGAUAGGCUCAAAGCAAACUUAGAAAAGCGUUCAGCAUAAUAUGCAUAGGAUAUAUUUAGUAUUUGCAUAAUUUUUCAAGUUAUAUGGCUAAUAUCAAAGGCAAAUGUCUUCCUACGUUUGUCAGUGUUUCCAUUCCCAUGGUAAUUUCUCUUGCCUGUGUCCCACCCCUCAGUACUCAGGGCCGCCUGCACUUUUUAUUCUGAGCAGCCAAUUAGGAGAGGUGACCCAUCCAUUCCGUUCACAGUGACAGCACAGAGGCGGCCUCCUCUUUGUGAUGUGGUCCAGGCACGGACCAAAGUUAGAGCAUGGAGGGCAAAGCUUGUCCCCCUCCCCUGCCCGUCCACAGCCCCUUAUGGUAAGUUCCAUAGUUCACACAGUGGUAAAUAGCCUUCUCCCAUUUAACUUCAACUCUUAGACGUGAGCACCGCCCACGCUGCAGAGCCGUCCGGUCUCGUGGCUUCCGGUGGCAAACCGGGCUUUGUAGGUUCUCUCCGGGGGAAACCUCCUGGCUGGAGACUCAGAAUGUUUUCUGUUGGUUUUUUUUCCCCCUUUAAAACAUGAAAUUGUUGGAAAAAACCCCAGCUAGACUGGGGACAGGGAGGCCGUCCACAACUUACGGGCCCUCUGGCUGUGUCCUGGCGGGUGGCUACGGAGGGUCCACGUCUGCAGCAUCGCGGGGAAGGAGGCGCGCGCCGGCCUACGGGCAGGGGUCCAGGGGGGCGCCGUUUGCAGUGCUCUGGCCCCGGUGUCUGGAGAGCAGCUUCUUGUUCAGGAACCGGGCAAGCGUCGACCCCUUCCUCCGCAGCCCCGCCGGCUGCUGCAGGAACACCAGGUCGUUGUGGGACUGGCUCAGGCCGGGGUCUUUCUGCUGGUGCCGCCGGCGGAAGAACAGCUUCGCGCCCUUCCUUAAAAUCCCUCCUGCAAGAGCAAGGCACGGGGUCAGCGGGGCUGCGGGUGAAAAGCCCGGUGGGCGACGCGUCCAGGAGGAAAGGAAGGCAGGCGGCUCCCUCCAGCGACUCUAAUAGAAGGCAGCCUGUGACUGCAGCGCGCCUCCCUGUUGGCACAAGAAAGGCAGCUGGGUCUGGCCUGAGCACAGCACAGGUGCUUCCAAGGCGCAGUGAGCAGAUACAAAGAAUACUUCAACACCUAUGACAUACGCAGACACCAUCCUGGUUUAUCCAGACGGGAGGCUGGAAGGCAUCACUUGCUUUUCUACGUGAAAUGUAUGGACAGUUGUGGAAUCUGACUCAGCCUUAUGCACAGACCCUUGCAUAAUCAGCACUUACCUCGGGAAAACCAGCACGCCCGUGACUUUAAGAGGCCAUUUACUGGACCUGAACUUAAGGAUGCAUGUCCCAGGGGAUAUAUAUAUAUAUAUAUAUAUAUAUAUAUGUAGAGCUGGUUCACUUUGCUGUACAGUAGAAACUAACACAACAUUGCAAAGCAACUGUACUUCCAUAAAAAAAAUUUUAAAAAAGAAAUUUUCCAAUUAACAAUGAAGAAAAAAAAAAAGGAUGCGUGUCCUACUUGCUCUGCCUGGGUUAAGCAGCAGAACACAGCUCAAAGCUCCAGGAAUGCGCCGAGUUUAACUUGGUGAAAGCUGUCCAAGAGAUUUGUUUUUCAUUUGCUCUUUGUGUCCAAUCAACCUACUGCGAAGACUCACUCAGACAUUUUCUACCAUUGUCUAAAGCUGGAGGCGGUGUACGGGGGGCUGAGGAAGGCUGCAAAGGGAUGAAGCAGAAGGAAACGGGAAAUUUGGACAGAGACACACAGGGAGACGCCAUGUGACGAUGAGGGCAGAGCUCAAGGUGAUGCGUCUGCAAGCCUCGGAGUGACAACGAUGGUUAACAAACCCUCAGAAGCUGGGGGAGAGCCUGGGACAGAUUCUCCCUCGUAGCCUCAGGAGGAACCAGCCCUGCCACACCUUUAUCGUGGACUUCCAGCCUCCAGAGCUCAGAGAGAAGAAAUCUCUGUUGUUUAAACCACCCCAUCUGCGGUACUUUGUUACAGCAGCCCCAGGAAUCUAACACAGACAAGAAAGGGCAGGGGAGGAUGUGACUUAAGAUGAGCGUCCUGAAGCAGCGGCCACGUCCUCCUGUUUAUCCUCGGACCCUGGACACCCCGUGUUAGAUCAGGGCAGAGGGCAGAUGCUACAGCCGUCUUCUCAGCCCCAAGACACGCUGGAGUCCGGCAGCAACCUGGAAAAACUCCAGACGUCCAGGUCCCAGCCCCGGGGAAUCUGAUGUGAGGGGUUCUGGGGAGACAUCUGGACAUCAGCAUCUUUUAAAAAAUCCCAGGUCUUUCUAACAUGCAGCUGGGGCUGGAAACCAUCCACCAAGGUCUGGUCAAACCGCCAUCAGUACUUGGACACAGACUAAGGACACAGACGUCAGCACCGGGGACCAGACCAGAGGGCAGAAGGGAAGCAGAGACUCGGAGGGGUGACGUGCUCGCCCUACAAAGCCGUGCUCUCGAGCCUGGCUCUUCUGUGCCGCUAAGGAUGGCAUCUGAGCUGGAAGUGGCCAGUAGGCGUCUGGAGCGCCGGUCUGCGGGUGGCCGCUGGCGAAGCCUCUGGAGGGCGAGACGGAUGCCGCUCCCAGAGGGAUCGCAGAGCACAGCCCUGCUCUCUGGGAACGACUCUGGCAGGCUUUCCAGAAUGAUGUGAAUCUCCCGAGAGGCAUGCUGGCGGCCUGGGUAGGACAGAACAUUCUAGCAACGUGAGCCCAUCUCCAGGGUGCACAGACUAACUCAGCAAACAUGAAAUAUAACCAGCACAAACAGAGGUUAUUCCAUUUUCAUGACUAAAUAAAAAUGUUAUCGUCCGUUUAAACUUGGCCAGUAAAGCACACGACCUUUGGGGUAAGUAACGCCGGAAGGACGUGGCCACAGGUGGGCCCAGCGGACGCUGAUGUGGCCGCACCACAGGUGGGUGUGAGGUCGUAGCUCAGACGGGCCAGGGCCCCCUCGGCUGCUGGCAGGUGGCGCCGUAAGGCGCCGCUGUGACCAAUGGACAUCGGAGCUCGGUUUUCUGUGCCAGUUUGUCCCAGAACGCCCAGUGACUCCAUCCCAGUACUGAGCUGAGUGCCGCAGGGCAAGGCUCCUGGUCGAUGUGGUCCAGAUCUCCCUCAGUGCCUGAGCUCUAGGAGAUAACCCGGAGUGAGGUGGGUGGGCUUCAUCCCAUCACUGAAUGCCUGAGAACAAAAAGGAAGGUUCCCGGGGCAGAGAUUCUGCCCCAAGACUGCGGCGCCAGCUCCUGCCUGCCCUGCAAUUUCAGACUCAUCAACACGAACCGGUUCCUUGAAAUACAGAACCUAUUGGUUCUGCUUCCCUGGAGAACCCUGGCCGAGAGAAGAACUCCAGUUUGGUAUGUCACAGUUGACUCUGGGCCCACAGAAUCUGUCACCCUUUGCUGAAAGGGAAAUUCACAUCAAUGGGGCAAGGCCGCUGGGGCCGUUUGGGUUUAAUAAGCCCACCUCCUUCACUCUGGGCUACCUCAUCCGCACAACAAGAAGCAAGACGCAGGCCUCACUCCCAAUCUUAAAGAUGCCUGAAGGUAAGAUCUGGAAACAGGUUAUGUGAAAUUUCAGGCAAAGAACCAAAAUCUUAGAUGGGACAGGGAAGAAAACAAAUCUUUCCCGGGUUCUAAAAACAAUCAUAAGACUAAAGGUUAAUACAAAGACAUCAUAAGGCUAAGGUAUAAACAGAUAUAUGAAGGAAUUAAAAAUAAUUAUUCUAAAUUAUAGCUUUAAUGUUGCAAACAUUCCCAAAUUUAUUCCCACUCAUCUCAGUUCAACAGACGUAAAUUGCUCAUUGAAGAAUGCAUCUUAACAUCUUAUAGGUAGGAAAACAGUGACCAAAAGCAACCUUAUAAAUUAUAGUUUGCUGCCCAAAGAACAGCUUUAGAUUACAAGGGGAACCACGGAAGGCCCAGUUACAGAAGUGACGACUUUUUAGCACCAAGGACGAUUAAGGGAGUCGGUCUGUCUGAAUUUCUUGGCGAGGUGGUUUUGUCACGUCAGCUAACACAGGGAUGCCUUCCCCUGAGAUGAUGACCCUCUACUACCAGACCAGGGCACUUUGAAGGAGGAAGAUGGGAAAACUGGCACCCGGGGACGGUCCAAGUGGAAAGCGAUGGGAGGGAAAAGGAAGAGGGGGAGGGGUGAACUUCCGGCUUAGUUACGAUAUGUGCUCUUCUCAUAGCAAGGCUAUACUUAAUUAAAAAUAUAUAUAUAAAACAAAAAUAACUUACUGUGUAGGCAAUUAAUUCUGGUUGGCAUAGCGAUCCUCUUAAGUUAAAGGGCAUGAGCAGGGAUGGAGAGAAGGAAGAGGUGAAAAGAAAAGUUUGCAACAGCAAA